rnacentral:rRNA from 1 species
UACGUAGGUGGCAAGCGUUGUCCGGAUUUAUUGGGUUUAAAGGGUGCGUAGGCGGUGACUUAAGUCAGUGGUGAAAUACUUCAGCUUAACUGGAGAGGUGCCAUUGAUACUGGGUCACUUGAGUACUGAUGAGGUAGGCGGAAUGGACGGUGUAGCGGUGAAAUGCUUAGAUAUCGUCCAGAACACCGAUAGCGAAGGCAGCUUACUAAGGAGUAACUGACGCUGAGGCACGAAAGUGUGGGGAUCAAACAGG